rnacentral:rRNA from 1 species
UGGGCGCAGCCUGAUGCAGCCAUGCCGCGUGUGUGAAGAAGGCCUUCGGGUUGUAAAGCACUUUCAGCAAGGAGGAAAGGUUGUAAGUUAAUACCUUCCAUCUGUGACGUUACUUGCAGAAGAAGCACCGGCUAACUCCGUGCCAGCAGCCGCGGUAAUACGGAGGGUGCGAGCGUUAAUCGGAAUUACUGGGCGUAAAGCGUACGCAGGCGGUUUGUUAAGCGAGAUGUGAAAGCCCCGGGCUUAACCUGGGAACUGCAUUUCGAACUGGCAGGCUAGAGUGUGAUAGAGGGUGGUAGAAUUUCAGGUGUAGCGGUGAAAUGCGUAGAGAUCUGAAGGAAUACCGAUGGCGAAGGCAGCCACCUGGGUCAACACUGACGCUCAUGUACGAAAGCGUGGGGAGCAAACAGGAUUAGAUACCCUGGUAGUCCACGCCGUAAACGAUGUCUACUAGGAGCUCGGCUUUUCGGAGCUGUUUUCCAAAGCAAACGCAUUAAGUAGACCGCCUGGGGAGUACGGCCGCAAGGUUAAAACUCAAAUGAAUUGACGGGGGCCCGCACAAGCGGUGGAGCAUGUGGUUUAAUUCGAUGCAACGCGAAGAACCUUACCUACACUUGACAUCCAGAGAACUUUCUAGAGAUAGAUUGGUGCCUUCGGGAACUCUGAGACAGGUGCUGCAUGGCUGUCGUCAGCUCGUGUUGUGAGAUGUUGGGGUUAAGUCCCGCAACGAGCGCAACCCCUAUCCUUAGUUGCCAGCGAUUCGGUCGGGAACUCUAAAGAGACUGCCGGUGAUAAACCGGAGGAAGGUGGGGGACGACGUCAAGUCAUCAUGGCCCUUA